GUAUACGUCGACGGACGUAGGUUUGAUCAGUCGGACGUACGAGGACGACGCUGGCGGCGUGCCUAACACAUGCAAGUCGAACGGAACUUAUUGGAUCAAGGCUUCGGCCAAGUGAAUUUAAGUUUAGUGGCGAACGGGUGAGUAACGCGUGAGCAACCUGCCUUUCAGAGGGGGACAACAGUUGGAAACGACUGCUAAUACCGCAUAACACAUCGAGGGGGCAUCCUCAUGAUGUCAAAGAUUUAUCGCUGAAAGAUGGGCUCGCGUCUGAUUAGAUAGUUGGUGAGGUAACGGCUCACCAAGUCGACGAUCAGUAGCCGGACUGAGAGGUUGAACGGCCACAUUGGGACUGAGAUACGGCCCAGACUCCUACGGGAGGCAGCAGUGGGGAAUAUUGGGCAAUGGGGGCAACCCUGACCCAGCAACGCCGCGUGAAGGAAGAAGGCUUUCGGGUUGUAAACUUCUUUUACCAGGGACGAAGACGUGACGGUACCUGGAGAAAAAGCCACGGCUAACUACGUG
rnacentral:rRNA from 1 species